rnacentral:rRNA from 1 species
UACGUAGGGUGCAAGCGUUAUCCGGAAUUAUUGGGCGUAAAGAGCUCGUAGGCGGUUUGUCGCGUCUGCUGUGAAAACCCGAGGCUCAACCCCGGGCCUGCAGUGGGUACGGGCAGACUAGAGUGCGGUAGGGGAGAGUGGAAUUCCUGGUGUAGCGGUGGAAUGCGCAGAUAUCAGGAGGAACACCGAUGGCGAAGGCAGAUCUCUGGGCCGUAACUGACGCUGAGGAGCGAAAGCGUGGGGAGCGAACAGG